rnacentral:rRNA from 1 species
UACGGGGGGGGCAAGCGUUGUUCGGAAUUACUGGGCGUAAAGGGCUCGUAGGCGGCCAACUAAGUCCGACGUGAAAUCCCCAGGCUUAACCUGGGAACUGCGUCGGAUACUGGAUGGCUUGAAUCCGGGAGAGGGAUGCGGAAUUCCAGGUGUAGCGGUGAAAUGCGUAGAUAUCUGGAGGAACACCGGUGGCGAAGGCGGCAUCCUGGACCGGCAUUGACGCUGAGGAGCGAAAGCCAGGGGGAGCAAAACGGG